GACGGGUAAAUAUUAUCCUUGUGAGCUAAUCCGGGAGAAGCUCAUCACAGGAAGGCAGUAACCACAACUCUCACAAUGCUGAUGCCCGGCUAUCAUCAGGGGAUGUUGCUCAAGGCCAGACCAAGGCCCAGCUUUAUCUACAGGAAGGCCUGCUUGGCAGUUCUCAUGUCUCCAUUAUCUCCGGAGAAUUCUGUCAGUCAACACAAACCACCUUUUUCACCCCUGAGGGACGGCGCAGGCCUUUGAGUCCAGAGCAGUCUGCUCCCCAGGAGCCCUGGGAGGCUGAGAGAGGAAACAAGAAGAAAGAUAAUAGUUUAGUGCUUGUAUGUCACUUUACCUGUACUAUCUCACAACAGUCUGCUGUGAGGCGGGUGCUAUAAUUAUUUCCAUUCUACUCAUGAAGAAACGGGAGGAGAGAGAUUAAACGAUUUACCCAGGUCCACACAGCUGUUUCAGCAAAGCAUUUGACAGUGUGGUCCUUGUGGAUGCAAAGAAGAGAUGUGGGCUAAUUGACAGCACAUUUGGAUCCAAAGAGUACUUGAACUUCCGGAUUUGAAUAUUGGCUCUACAUAACCUUGAUCAAGUGAUUCAACCCUUGUGGAUCUCAGUUUCCUCAUGCAAAAUGAAGAGGUUGGACCAAACGACUUGCCUAGGUCAGGGGCCACCUCCUCCAUGAAGUCCUGAUCCUUUCUCCACCUCAAAUUGUGUGCCUGGGUAUCAAAGCAGAGUGACCACAUCCACAAAACCCCACAAGUGCA